GAAGGCAGCAACGCUCAAGGAGGCGUUGGACGGGUGCCUUGGGG
rnacentral:SRP_RNA from 1 species